rnacentral:rRNA from 1 species
AGCGAACGUUAGCGGCGGGCCUAACACAUGCAAGUCGAACGCGAAAGGUCUUCGGACUGAGUAGAGUGGCGCACGGGUGAGUAACGCGUAGGUAAUCUACCCUUUGGCGGGGGAUAACGUUCCGAAAGGAGCGCUAAUACCGCAUAAGACCACGGAGUCUCCGGACGCUGUGGGAAAAGGUGGCCUCUUCUUGAAAGCUACCACCGAAGGAUGAGCCUGCGUCCCAUCAGCUAGUUGGUAAGGUAAUGGCUUACCAAGGCGAAGACGGGUAGCUGGUUUGAGAGAAUGAUCAGCCACACUGGCACUGGAACACGGGCCAGACUCCUACGGGAGGCAGCAGUGAGGAAUAUUGGGCAAUGGGCGAAAGCCUGACCCAGCCACGCCGCGUGAGUGAUGAAGGCCCUCGGGUCGUAAAGCUCUGUGGAGAGGGACGAAAACCCUAGGUUUCAAAUAGGCUCCAGGCUUGACGGUACCUCUUUAGCAAGCACCGGCUAACUCUGUGCCAGCAGCC